AUCUUAUUGCAGUUGUCCGGUGAUUUUAAAACCAAUAUUAUAAAAUUAAUUAGUUUUAAUAUAAUAUGUACUUCACUGUGUCAAAAUUUAAUAAGAAAACAUUAACAAUAAUGGUAAUAAUUUUGGACGAGUAAGAAAAUAACAGCUACUAACGACGUAGAAGAGCAUGUGUACGAGAAAUGUUAGUUAAAAGAAAAACUUGUUGUUGUGUUCAAUUGUUGUCUAAUUUUACAAUCGUAUUAUAUUUUUAUGUUAGUUAUCACUGUAUAUUCUGUUAGCAUUAUUAUAAAGUUCAUGAUAUUGACUAACUUUUUCUAUUAAAACUACAUCAUCGGUAUUAAAAUAACGAAAAAUAUAAUAAUAAUAAAAAUAUAAAUAUAAUAAUCACUCAUAUAGAAUUUAUAAAUGGAAUGUAUAUUUUUGAUCGAGACGUUCGGUUCACACAUUCAUACUAUCCGUCAAACCUUUCUUUUGUUAUUUAUGACCGUCCGUUCGAUCCACUGUUCGCUAAUGGAUGGUUCCUAUCAUCCGUCGUGAACGAACUUUUUUUAUUGUUCUAAACGGUCGUCCAUUCGAUGUUACAUACGUUCCGAACGUGUUGAAUACAAGUAUAAACUAUUGGUUUGGCGGAAACGAAAUACUUACCUUAAGCAGAUUUGGCGGAAAUGAUGCUUGUCGAAAACGAUACGGUAAUUUUGGCGGAAUGUCAUGUCAAACGGAUUCUACUGUUCGAUGCACGUUUAUGUUCCACAAUUGUUGGCAAUUUAUUGUAAUAAUAUAAAUCGAUAUUUUGAAUUUAAAAUUCAUACAACUUGAUUUUUGAUAUUAAAAUAAUUAUUUUUAAUUAAUAUAAUUCUUUUUAAUAACAAUAAUUUAUUACGAUGACACAUAAUUUUAUAAUUUGUUAAUUUGAUUCAUUUGAUGUAAAUUUAAAAAAAUGCAUUGCAUUUUUUAUUUUAAAUAAUUUGCUAAAAUCAUAUAAAUAAUUUAAUUAAUCAAAUUCUAAAAAAAAAAAAAUUCACAAUUGCAUACAUUAAAAAUUAAUUAAUGCACUUUAAAAACAAUACUUUGAUCAUUUAAUUUCUUAAAAUUUGAUCAUUUAAAAGACAGGGGGAUAAUUUUAAGAUGAAGAGUAAAAGUAAUGUGAACAGACUUAAAUACAUAUAUUUUUAUUUUCCAUAAAUUGAACCGUUUCAUAAGUUUUAAAAUCUGACCUUGGAGUUAUUUGUAAUUACAUUAAUGUCAGAUCUAUUGCAAAGGUUAUAAAGCGUUGGUGCAAGAAUAUUUCCUUGGGGACUUGUUUGAUUGUCUUUGUUGACGCAAGAUACAGCGCAUGUUCGAAAAUAGAUAUUUAAUUUAUAUAGUUGUUUUUUUUAAAUAAUGUACAGAUUGAAAUUGUAAUAUUUAAAUUUAUGUAAUUUAAUAUCUGUCCUAAUGCUAAAAUACCCCAAAAUAAAUUUCCUAGUUUACAGAUGUUGACAUUUUUGUCAACAAGCAUCGUUUUAUUAAUCAUUUUUUUGUAUUGUUAUGUAAUACAUUAUUUUUAUAUUAUUGAAAUGAUUACUAUGUAUAACUUAUUGCGCACUAUUA